rnacentral:ncRNA from 2 species
UAAGAUCAUGAGGGGUGCCUUAAUAUCACAGGCUGAGAUCAUACCCACAAUACCUGAUCCGGGUAGUGCCGGCGAAGGGAAAUGAGUAAACCGAGUA